AUCGGUCUGCAGUUGAGAUAUUGU
rnacentral:miRNA from 1 species